GAAGAACCUUACCUACCCUUGACAUGUACGGAACCUCGCAGAGAUGUGAGGGUGCCCGAAAGGGAGCCGUAACACAGGUGCUGCAUGGCUGUCGUCAGCUCGUGCCGUGAGAUGUUGGGUUAAGCCCCGUAACGAGCGCAACCCUUGUCCUUAGUUGCCAGCACGUAAAGGUGGGAACCCUAAGGAGACCGCCGGGGUCAACUCGGAGGAAGGUGGGGAUGAGGUCAAAUCAUCAUGCCCCUUAUGCCUUGGGCUUCACGCAUGCUACAGUGGCCGGUACAAAGGGCUGCAAUACCGCAAGGUGGAGCGAAUCCCAAAAAGCCGGUCUCAGUUCGGAUUGAGGUCUGCAGCUCGACCCCAUGAAGUCGGAGUCGCUAGUAAUCGUGAGUCAGCAACGUCACGGUGAAUACGUUCCCGGGUCUUGUACACACGC
rnacentral:rRNA from 1 species